GAAAAGGACUUUUAAAUGCUUUGCUCUGACAUUUUGGAACAGUUUGCUGAAACAGAGCACGAUAAAGGUUGAAUCUCACCACUUGGGACUGACCUAACGUGUAACUGGCUCCGCUUUGGAGCUGCAGCUGGCCCUGCUCAGAGGCAGUGCAUCUGCUGUCCCCGAGGUACCUGCUGUGACCCAGCUUAGCCUGACACUUCUCCAGAUUUCCGUCUCCAAAUCUAACCCACAGCAUCGUCUGCUCGCUGGAGCUGCCAGCCUCCUCCAGAUCACCCAGGCUAGGAAGGCACUGGCCCAAAUCAGCCCCCAGCAAGUCCUGGGCUUAUGCAGGGCUGCUCACUUCUGGGACUUCCACCAGCCAGGCCAACAGGGACUUCCAACCAUCCCAGGCCCGCGCAAUGUAACGGGGACCCUGAAAAAGCUUUUGGCUCAAGCUGUGACCGAGGCACCAGCCACCCCAGAGGCGACUUGGACGGGAGGAUGGACAAGCAGAGCUCAGAGGCAGUGUUCAGAGCUAGUCCCAGGGGUCAGUGAAAUGCUGCAGCUCCUGCCAGUGCCUUCUCCGCUCUGCCCCGCAGGGGGGCUUUAGGAAGAGCUGUACUUGUUGCUCAGGCGGGAGCUGCUGCGGUCCAACCCAAGCUCCUGCCCGUUGGCUUUCCACUUGCCCACAGAGCCCUUCUCGUCCGUCGGCGUGAUGCUCAGAGCGGGUCUCUGGCACCAGCAGCACAGGCAGGACUGCGGGGAGACAAGAGGGGG